CCCGCUCCCGCUCCCGCUCCCUCUCCAGCUCCCCCUCCCGCUCCCUCUCCACCUCCCGCUCCCGCUCCCCCUCCCUCUCCCGAUUUCCACAGUCUCCCUCUGUUGCCAAGGCUGGACUGUACUGCCGUGAUCUCGGCUGGCUGCAACCUCCCUGCCUGAUUCUCCUGCCUCAGCCUGCCGAGUGCCUGGGAUUGCAGGCGUGCGCCGCCACGCCUGACUGGUUUUUGUAUUUUUGGUGGAGAGGGGGUUUCGCCCUGUUGGCCAGGCUGGUCUCCAGCUACUGACCUCCAGUGAUCUGCCCGCCUCGGCCUCCCGAGGUGCCGGGAUUGCAGACGGAGUCUUGCUCACUCAGUGCUCAAUGUUGCCCAGGCUGGAGUGCAGUGGCGUGAUCUCGGCUGGCUACAGCCUCCACCUCCCAGCAGCCUGCCUUGGCCUCCCAAAGUGCUGAGAUCUCGCAGCCUCUGCCUGGCCGCCACCCCGUCUAGGAAGUGAGGAGCGUCUCUGCCUGGCCGCCCAUUGUCUGGGAUGUGAGGAGCCCCUCCGCCCGGCUGCCUCAUCUGGGAUGUGAGGAGCGCCUCUGCCCGGCAGCCCCGUCUGGGAGGAAAUUCUUGAUAAAAAUUACAGCCUGAUCUCAGUUGUGCAACAGGAAUUUUGAAGAGCAGCCACCCUCCCUGAAGCCAUCUAGGGAACACCAGCAGAAUCACACUGGAGGACUGGUGUCCACAGAAGGCCACAAGCUUGUGAAGGUCAACUCAGCUGUGGCAGCUGAGCAACUGUCGGGCAAGUCUGCUGGAAUCUGAAAACCCAGAGACAUUUGUCCUGGGGGAUAUAUGGUAUGGUUCCCUUGGGUUCUCAGAAAUGACUGAGAUGACAUUUUGAGAGAAGCUAAGUUUUGGAAAUUAGGCCAGAGACUUAUGCCAAAAUUGUGGAUAAAGAGGAAGUUCCUGUUUGGGUUGUAGUGACAGGCUGUUGAGACUGGUGAAGUAAGCAUCACACUCAAUUUACCCCACACUAUGAGGAGCAAAAGAGUUCUUAAAAAGACAGAGAGGCAUAGCCUCAUCAUCAGAGCUCUUUAGGGAAACUGGGGAUUACCUCUAUAUGUCAGAUUUUCAAAUUAGCGUUGCACACCAGAGACCUCUUCAGGUGAGGUGAACUUGUAAAAAUACCUGAGAAUGGUUGUGAAACUGUAGUGUGCUGCUGCUGUGACUUCUGUUUUAUUUUUUUCAUUUCAUUUACUUUUCUAUAUACGAGUGUGUGUGUUUGUGCACACACACAGAGUAUAUAUAAGACAUAGAUACUUAUAGUACAUAGAAAUGUAUUUGUAUAAAUACAUGUAUGAUGUUGAAAGUUUGAGAUUCUUUGUUUUUUGAUAAAAACUAGUUAAAAUUGUUAUUAAGAUCUGAAAAUUAAUUCAGUCAGUUUUAAGAGACAUAGAAAUUCAGAGCAGCAAUCCCUGUUUGGUAAAUGCUUCUGUGGGGGACAACAUUCUCCACUAAGGUAAUUUUGAGCCACAAUCUUAAAUCAAACCACGAAAGAUAGAAAUUAUUUCCUUGGAAUAAGCUGUGAACAGUAUUACCUAAGGCUUUGGAUAAUUUCAAAUGAAAUGCUGAAUUUAGUAUAUUGAAUGACACAGCAUCUUUAUUUUAAAAUGGAACAAGUCAAUAAGGUAUUUACAGGAACACACAGCUUGAAUAAUAAAAUGUGUGUGAAUAGAUCUUAAUAAUUCAUUCCAUGUGCUGAUGCAAUUUGAUACAAACUCAAGCGUUUUAAUAAGAACUGUAAGCUGUUUUUUGAAAUUAUGUAUUGGAUUAGAGAGAGAGAGAGAACAGACCAAUUAAGCAACGAAAAAGAAGCGGGGAAUUGCUAAUGCUGAAUGAGUAGGAGCCAUCUGGAACUAUAAAGCGUCCCCAACAACCUACAGCUUCCCACACAGAUCGUAACCUCCUCCUCCGAUACCCGCCCCCACUACUUUGUGUAGGAGUUUAUCUUUUCCAGCUAUCACUAUGGGUAGGGUAAAAACUACUUUUAUAAAAAUUACCUUCAUGGUUACUGAAAGCUGAAGAGGAAUACUUCACUAACCAUGGGUCAUGACUCAUAGCGUAAAUACUUAUCUAGUAAGCAUUUAUAAUAUUUCUUUGGUGCUAAUUUUCUCAUUGAAUAAAGUUUGCUUUCAUUUUGUUUCAUCCACAUCAUAGCGGCACUUUCUGGCUGAGCUGCUUAACCCUCUGAAUUCAACUAUUUGCAGAGGCAUAAAGAAUUUUGAUGACUAUUUCAUUAUGCUUCCUCUAAAAAUAUGUUUUAAAGUCUCUAAAGAUUGUUGACUGUGUGCAAAACACUCUAAAGCUUGUUUCAAAGUAACAUAAAGCAUUUAGAUGAGAAAAGGGAAUAUACACAAUCCACUUCAGCUACACAUAAACUGGUUCAUGUGUUAAGGACAGUUCUAGAACUUUGGAAACUUGGAUAAGGACGCUCCUUCUGAGUAUAGUUCUCAUAGCACAAUCCCAAAGACACUGGAACCAACUUCAACUCCCACUGAGCUUAGAACCUACCCUUUACAUUACCCUAGAAAAACAAACACACUCUUUUAUGUAACCCCUCUCCCCAUUCUCCCCCUUCUUUUACAAAUUAUAUGCUAAAAUGCUCCCAACGUACUUAUAAAUAGAUCCAAUAAGACAUCAAUUUCUACACCUUCCAAGAGGGAGGGGAAACAAUCACAGGAAAUGAGGUGAAAACAAAUACUAUUGGCCGGGCGCAGUGGCUCACGCCUGUAAUCCCAGCACUUUGGGAGGCCGAGGCGGACAGAUCACGAGGUCAGGAGAUCGAGACCAUCCUGGCUAACACGGUGAAACCCCAUCUCUACUAAAAAUACAAAAAAAAUUAGCCAGGCGUGGUUGCAGGCGCCUGUAGUCCCGGCUACUCGGGAGGCUGAGGCAGGAGAAUGACAUGAACCCGGGAGGCGGAGCUUGUAGUGAGCCGAUAUUGUGCCACUGCACUUCAGCCGGGGCGACAGAGCGAGACGAGACUCUGCCUCAAAAGAAAACAAAAUAAAAACAAAAACAAACAAACAAAAAACAAACCAAAUGUUAUUAACCAAAUUACUAAAAUAAAGGAAACUUGAACACUAAAGAAUAAAUAAUUUUCACAAGAACAUUCUAAAGCAAAUUGUAGUAUCACUUUAUUUUCAUUAUUGUAGUAACAUUUCUUCAAUGACUUGGUAUCAAUAAAUUGUAUACAAAUAAAAGUCCUGUGUUGGCUUAAUAUUUCAUUUUUCAGCUUUUGUGUUAGGGUCUAUAAACAAGUUUAUUGGUACCUGUGUUUACAGAUGCACCAUAUUUAAAUGUAGUAUAAAGUCUGAUAUAUAUGAGAAUACGAUGGGAUAUGU
rnacentral:lncRNA from 1 species